rfam:Deltaproteobacteria bacterium RIFCSPLOWO2_12_FTLL_57_22 rifcsplowo2_12_scaffold_41684, whole genome shotgun sequence.
GAGGUAGGUCCCUCGAAGCCGGCGCGCAGGGCGCAGACUUCAAACCACCUUAAGCGGCUUGGGUUAAGAGCUCCGGUCGUGAGCGUUAAGGAAAAGGCGGAAAGUAAUCCGUCAGGU